rnacentral:misc_RNA from 1 species
UGCACACAAAUGAUUUAGAUACGCAACAUAGUUUAAGUCUUACAAAGUCAACUAGUUACACAGCGCAUACGAAGCUUAAAACAGAGUGGCUAGUCUUCAACACAUACUAAUACACAAAGUUCCCUCUAACUAGAAAUAUAUCAACAACCAUCAACAAUCAGUUGAAUACUUACAUUGCCAUAGCUUUCUCCAUGCCUUUCCCAUGAAUUGUCAAGAAUACCUUCCCCGCACUGUCCAAGCUACUCUUGUCAAUCGCAAUAGCUCCGAACAUUGCCCUGAAAGCACCACAAACCACUGCAGGAGCCGACGAAUUGGUCUUCCUAGAAACCCUGAUUAUCUUCUGCAAACCUAAGCGCCCUCCGUCAGCAACGCAUGAUGUUACCACAUUGGAAGACAGAUCCAUGAUGACCCGGUUGAGAUCCUUGGGUGAUAUAUCGAUAUCCUUGCUAAGCAAUUGCAGAGAAACCGAACCUUCAAUUACCUUCUCCCCCAAAACGCUCAAAGCUCUGUUGUUCUCUCCUGAGUAUGAUGCAUGCGUCAGAGCACGUCGUAGUAACUCCACAUCCUGAAAUGUGUACUGGAUUUGAUUUUGAAGGGUUUCGAGAGCGAUCGAGAAAGGGGAAGUGGGUCUCGUUGUUAAGGAGAGAUUUUCCUGAGCCUGAACCUCAGCCUGAAGAGAAGUGUAGAGAGCAAAAGCAAGUAAGAUGAAGCAAAUGAAUUGCCGGAGAUGGCACAUGAUUCCGGCGAACUGUAUCUCGUCGAUGGCGACAAAGUAAAGCUGAGUCGAUGGGUGUCGCUAGUGGGGUGACUUGCG